CGGGAGAUGGCUGAGUGGUUGAAAGCGGCGGUCUUGAAAACCGUUGAGGGUCAUAUCUCCGGGGGUUCGAAUCCCUCUCUCCCGGCCA
rnacentral:tRNA from 3 species